rnacentral:rRNA from 1 species
UACGUAGGGUGCAAGCGUUGUCCGGAAUUAUUGGGCGUAAAGGGUGCGUAGGCGGCGCGGUAAGUCGGGUGUGAAAUCUCGGAGCUUAACUCCGAAACUGCAUUCGAUACUGCCGUGCUUGAGGACUGGAGAGGAGACUGGAAUUUACGGUGUAGCGGUGAAAUGCGUAGAUAUCAGGAGGAACACCGGUGGCGAAGGCGGGUCUCUGGGCCGAUAUUGACGCUGAGGAGCGAAAGCGUGGGGAGCAAACAGG